rnacentral:rRNA from 1 species
UACGUAUGGAGCAAGCGUUAUCCGGAUUUACUGGGUGUAAAGGGUGCGUAGGCGGCGCGGCAAGUCAGAUGUGAAAGACCGGGGCUCAACCCCGGGGCUGCAUUUGAAACUGCCGAGCUUGAGUCCGGGAGAGGCAGGCGGAAUUCCUAGUGUAGCGGUGAAAUGCGUAGAUAUUAGGAGGAACACCAGUGGCGAAGGCGGCCUGCUGGACCGGAACUGACGCUGAGGCACGAAAGCGUGGGGAGCAAACAGG